AACGGAGGUCGCAGGUUAUUUUGGUUCCGUCCACCACCUCCCCUCCGCUGGUUUUUCCGUCGCGACAGAACCAAUCCCUCGCUAGCCCUACCUCAUCUCCCGUCUCCAGUCGCAGCCGCCGCCGCACCCCAACCCAACCCCGCCGCCGGCGAUCUCCUCGCCCCCCUGCGCCGCCGCCCCCAACCUUCUAUUCCUCUCCCAAGGGAAGGGAAGGCAAGGGAAGGGAAGGGAAGGGAGAGGGACUGCCCAGAUCCACGGCGGCAUCAGCGCGCUGUCGUCGACCUAAUCCGCGUCCGUCCUCGAGGGAGGUCGGCCAUGGAGGUCCGACGCGGCCCGGCAGCAGCCAUGGACGGACGGAGACGCCCCAAACCCUACCCGGGACGACGCCUCAACCUUCAAGGACGCGCGUCGGCGACCGCAGAUCUCCGGUGACGGCUAUGUUGAGAUGACUGCCCCGGAUCUGGACGCACAACCUGCAGCUGCAGCAGCAGUUGGACGACCGAACGCACGAGCCCUCCCUCCCUCCCUCAUGGCUCUGCUUCCUCCUACCCUGCCCCCCUCACGUGGGUGUGCGGCGGACGUAUGACUGCUACCUGCACAAGCGGAUGGCCCUGCGAGCCAGACCAACCUCCAGCUGCUGUGGCGUACCACGGGUAGAUUUAUCCCAACGAGAAUUACGGUGGGAUGCAGGAAACAAGGAGCCCAAAAAUUAAAUUAAAACAAAUCGACGCCAAUAGCGAUGGGGCGCCGACAGACCAUGACGCUUGAAGAUAUGGAGGCGACAAAUCUGUGCCUAUCCCCUCUUGGUGAUAACUCUAGCCGAGCCCCUCUUGGUGACAUUCCUAAUCUUGAGCAUCCUUCCCAAAUGACUCCAGUGCCCGUGCCAGAUCCAAGGCAUGGAGAACUCCAAGGAGUUUGCUGACAAGCUGUUCGGGAUAUGUCGAGGCAGAGGAACAUUGAGCCGGAUGAAGGCAUUAACAAGGAUCAGCUCAGAGAGGUGGAACAUGAACAUUGAUGGGAUGCUCACAGAAGAUGAGGUCAAGAAGGUGGCUACGCAAAUGAUCACAGAGAAGACUACUGCUGGUUCGUCUUCCCCGCCCUUUAAAUAUGUUCACGUCUGCACAUCAAUCUAUCGAUAUUGUUUGGGAUAUUUUUCCAGGGCCUUUUGAUCGACCAUGCCAUUCAAAAAGCUCUUUAGUGCAGUUUGCAACAACAAAAAUCAGAGGAUUGGUCGUUUGUAAGGGUGGAUAUCUCAGAGGUGGCUGCCACCCGGAUUGGAAUUUAAUUCAAUCUAUUUCCCUUUCUGAAGUUUCAUACUAGAUGUAUGUUCCUGUGAUAUGAUUUGUUUAUGGAGAUGGAGAGAUGUGACUUUCAGAGUGACAUAAAUUCAGAGUCCUUCUAUUGAAAUCUAGAGGAUCGGUUGCAUUUUUGUUGAGGUACUAGAAGAACUUUGUUUUGUGUUAACAAUGGUGUCCUUUUGUGCAUUGAUA